CCCAGGCAAGCGCAGGCACAGGAGACCGCCUCCGUCUCCCUCCCCUUCUCCUCAGAUGCCCUUUGCUGCUGCUGCAGCAGGGUUAUUAUUACAGUAUGUGGCUGUUCCCUGUUCUCUCCUCCCUUCUUCCUCCUCCCCGCUCCCCGCCCCUCAGCGGUCGACCGCUGCCUGCGCGGGGGGACAGCUGCGGCCCGCCCCGUCGCUCACCUCAGCCCCCUUCUACCCCCGGCUCUGGCCGGCAGAGCGCGGAAGCUACCCCGACUCCCAGACGGCGCGGGGGACGCGGGACUGCGGAUUAUUGCCGACUAAGCAGUCUGAUCAUGUAGAAAGGACAGAAAGUGAGCAGGGAGCGGGGGCUUUUAUCUAUUGUUCUCCUUGUGCUUCUUGA
rnacentral:lncRNA from 14 species